AUUGAACGCUGGCGGCAUGCCUAACACAUGCAAGUCGAACGGCAGCAUGAUAAGAGCUUGCUCUUAUUGAUGGCGAGUGGCGGACGGGUGAGUAAUAUGUAGGAAUUUACCUAGAGGUGCGGGAUAACUUAGGGAAACUUAAGCUAAUACCACAUAAGCCCUACGGGGGAAAGCAGGGGAUCUUCGGACCUUGCGCCUUAUGAUGAGCCUACAUCGGAUUAGCUUGUUGGUGGGGUAAAGGCCUACCAAGGCGACGAUCCGUAGCUGGUCUGAGGGGAUGAUCAGCCACACUGGGACUGAGACACGGCCCAGACUCCUACGGGAGGCAGCAGUGGGGAAUAUUGGACAAUGGGCGAAAGCCUGAUCCAGCAAUGCCGCGUGUGUGAAGAAGGCCUUAGGGUUGUAAAGCACUUUAAGCGAGGAGGAGGCUCUUAAGGUUAAUACCCUUGAUGAGUGGACGUUACUCGCAGAAUAAGCACCGGCUAACUCUGUGCCAGCCGCCGCAGUAAAAC
rnacentral:rRNA from 1 species